CGUAACAAGGUUUCCGUAGGUGAACCUGCGGAAGGAUCAUUACCGAGUUUUCGAGCUCCGGCUCGACUCUCCCACCCUUUGUGAACGUACCUCUGUUGCUUUGGCGGCUCCGGCCGCCAAAGGACCUUCAAACUCCAGUCAGUAAACGCAGACGUCUGAUAAACAAGUUAAUAAACUAAAACUUUCAACAACGGAUCUCUUGGUUCUGGCAUCGAUGAAGAACGCAGCGAAAUGCGAUAAGUAAUGUGAAUUGCAGAAUUCAGUGAAUCAUCGAAUCUUUGAACGCACAUUGCGCCCCUUGGUAUUCCGGGGGGCAUGCCUGUUCGAGCGUCAUUACAACCCUCAAGCUCUGCUUGGAAUUGGGCACCGUCCUCACUGCGGACGCGCCUCAAAGACCUCGGCGGUGGCUGUUCAGCCCUCAAGCGUAGUAGAAUACACCUCGCUUUGGAGCGGUUGGCGUCGCCCGCCGGACGAACCUUCUGAACUUUUCUCAAGGUUGACCUCGGAUCAGGUAGGGAUACCCGCUGAACUUAAGCAUAUCAAUAAGCGGAGGA
rnacentral:rRNA from 1 species